rnacentral:piRNA from 1 species
UCUGAAGCUGGCUGACAAAUACA